rnacentral:rRNA from 1 species
GGAAUAUUGGACAAUGGGCGCAAGCCUGAUCCAGCCAUGCCGCGUGCAGGAUGACGGUCCUAUGGAUUGUAAACUGCUUUUGCACAGGAAGAAACAACUCUACGUGUAGAGUCUUGACGGUACUGUGAGAAUAAGGAUCGGCUAACUCCGUGCCAGCAGCCGCGGUAAUACGGAGGAUCCAAGCGUUAUCCGGAAUCAUUGGGUUUAAAGGGUCCGUAGGCGGUUUAGUAAGUCAGUGGUGAAAGCCCAUCGCUCAACGGUGGAACGGCCAUUGAUACUGCUAGACUUGAAUUAUAAGGAAGUAACUAGAAUAUGUAGUGUAGCGGUGAAAUGCUUAGAGAUUACAUGGAAUACCAAUUGCGAAGGCAGGUUACUACUUAUGGAUUGACGCUGAUGGACGAAAGCGUGGGUAGCGAACAGGAUUAGAUACCCGUG